rnacentral:rRNA from 1 species
UUGAAACUCAAAGGAAUUGACGGGGGCCCGCACAAGCGGUGGAGCAUGUGGUUUAAUUCGAAGCAACGCGAAGAACCUUACCAGGUCUUGACAUCCUUUGACCACUCUGGAGACAGAGCUUUCCCUUCGGGGACAAAGUGACAGGUGGUGCAUGGUUGUCGUCAGCUCGUGUCGUGAGAUGUUGGGUUAAGUCCCGCAACGAGCGCAACCCUUGAUUUUAGUUGCCAGCAUUUAGUUGGGCACUCUAAAGUGACUGCCGGUGCAAGCCGGAGGAAGGUGGGGAUGACGUCAAAUCAUCAUGCCCCUUAUGACCUGGGCUACACACGUGCUACAAUGGAUAGUACAAAGGGUCGCGAAGCCGCGAGGUGGAGCUAAUCCCAUAAAACUAUUCUCAGUUCGGAUUGUAGGCUGCAACUCGCCUACAUGAAGCCGGAAUCGCUAGUAAUCGUGGAUCAGCAUGCCACGGUGAAUACGUUCCCGGGCCUUGUACACACCGCCCGUCACACCACGAGAGUUUGUAACACCCGAAGUCGGUAGGGUAACCUUUAUGGAGCCAGCCGCCGAAGGUGGGACAGAUAAUUGGGGUGAAGUCGUAACAAGGUAGCCGUAUCGGAAGGUGCGGCUGGAUCACCUCCUUUCUAAGGAA